rnacentral:tRNA from 1 species
GCCACCUUAGCUCAGUUGGUAGAGCGCAUCACUCGUAAUGAUGAGGUCUGGAGUUCGAUUCUCCAAGGUGGCU